AUGAUCGUACGGUUCAUCUUAGUAGACCCUAUCCAUCAGUUGAUACGUGGAUUUGCGAAUCUCAAUGCAACAGAAAAACGUCAUCUUCCCCACCGGCAAAUCCUGAUGUCGAUUAGAAUUCCGCACGACGCCGAGCUUCCACCGGCAUGGCAAGACGCGGCUGGUUUUGUCGUUGGUGCAAUGAGAUUCGUGCACAUCCAUCCAUGCAUGCAUGUAGCCCUCGCGCGCCAGAGACUUGGAGCACCCGACGACUCGUCGCUGACCGCGGGUCCUAUACAUACCCCCGCGUGCCAUGGCCACCGUCCAAAAGCCCGCACGGCACAACUCGCAGCUGCUAUCGACGUACUAGUUUCCCUUUCUCCGACAGUGCUGGGGUUAGGGUCGGCAAUGGCGCACAGGGUCCUGGAGCUGACGCUUGUGUCGGCGAGCAACCUGCCGAGCGUGAACCUGUUCAGCGGCAUGCAGACGGACCCGGCGUGGGACCACACGGUCUGGUUCGCCGUCUCGCCCACGGCUGCCGCCGCGGGGCGCGCCUACCUCCACGUGCUCCUCCGCACCGAGCGCUACUUCGGCGGUUCGUUCGGCCUCAACGACCGCGACGUCGGCGAGGUGUUCAUCCCCGUUGCCGGAGGAGGCACCCCGUGGCGGUGCGCGUCGUACCCGGUCCGGAAGGCGCAGAGCAGCAGGCACCGCGGCACGCUCAGCCUUGGCCCCGUGGUGGUGCCCCCCUCGGAACCCGAUUGCCAGGCAGUCAUGCCGCCGUGCCGGCCGGCGCGGAGGAAUUUCAACUGGAACGGUCGCUUCGAGCUGGGGCUCGGCUCGGGGCUGCUCGGCGGAGGCUUUGCUGGCACGGCGGCAUAUAGAUCCGGGUGGAAAGGGAUCGGUGGGGGCUCGAUCUCAUACAGGGAUGCCGGCGGCGCGGCGACGCAAGCGGUCCACGAUGGGAUCCAGUGUUCGCUGGUCUUCCCAGUGGAUCAAGCCGAGGCGCUCAAGGCGAUCCAGCAGCGCGCGGCCUUCUCAGUGGAUCCAGCCGAGGCGCGCCAGGGAAUCAUCCUAGGGUUUGGAGUUGGUGACCGAGGAGGAGGCGGCACCGGCGAUGGUGCGCAAGCCGUGCACGAGGCCACGACGACUCCACAAAGUCUGCUCCGCUCUCCCCGACCCUCGACGACGUGCUCUCCGAUCUCCACUCCCUCCUUCUCUCCACGCUCGCCGCGUCGCUGCCCACCCCAUCACCAUGGCGACGAUGUUCUAAAGACUCGAGCUAUGGACCUAGAAGAUGAAGAUACUGAAAUUUUCCUCGCAAAUGCAGGCUCCUGGAAGAACUGA
rnacentral:rRNA from 1 species